rnacentral:rRNA from 1 species
GCGGAACACGAGAAAUUCCGUCGGAAUCCGGGAGGACCAUCUCCCAAGGCUAAAUACUCCCUAGUGACCGAUAGUGAACCAGUACCGUGAGGGAAAGGUGAAAAGCACCCCGGAAGGGGAGUGAAAUAGAACCUGAAACCGUGUGCCUACAACAAGUCAAAGCCCGUUAAUGGGUGAUGGCGUGCCUUUUGUAGAAUGAACCGGCGAGUUACGAUUGCAUGCGAGGUUAAGUUGAAGAGACGGAGCCGCAGCGAAAGCGAGUCUGAAUAGGGCGUUUGAGUAUGUAGUCGUAGACCCGAAACCAUGUGAUCUACCCAUGUCCAGGUUGAAGGUGCGGUAAAACGCACUGGAGGACCGAACCCACGUACGUUGAAAAGUGCGGGGAUGAGGUGUGGGUAGCGGAGAAAUUCCAAACGAACUUGGAGAUAGCUGGUUCUCUCCGAAAUAGCUUUAGGGCUAGCCUCGGAAUUGAGAAUGAUGGAGGUAGAGCACUGUUUGGACUAGGGGCCCAUCUCGGGUUACCGAAUUCAGAUAAACUCCGAAUGCCAUUCAUUCAUAUCCGGGAGUCAGACUGUGAGUGAUAAGAUCCAUAGUCGAAAGGGAAACAGCCCAGACCACCAGCUAAGGUCCCAAAAUAUAUGUUAAGUGGAAAAGGAUGUGGGGUUGCACAGACAACUAGGAUGUUGGCUUAGAAGCAGCCACCAUUUAAAGAGUGCGUAAUAGCUCACUAGUCGAGUGACCCUGCGCCGAAAAUGUACCGGGGCUAAACAUAUUACCGAAGCUGUGGAGUACACCUUUAGGUGUAUUGGU